rnacentral:rRNA from 1 species
AUGUUCAUGGCUUGCUGCGGUGAAGAACUCGUCGGACCAAGUGGUGAUGUCCCCGGAGCCGGCGAGUUUGGAGUCGAUCGGGAGUGGCUUGGACCUGAUUGCGUUCCUCUUCAGAUCUUUGGGGUCCUUUCUGCAUAUUUCAGGGACUGCUUUGUAAUUUUCAGUUUGUUGUGUGUCCUGUUGUUCUGGCUUGUACUACGGUAUUGUAAUAUCAAAUAA